GCGGACGGGUGAGUAACGCGUGGGAACGUGCCCUUUGGUUCGGAACAACACAGGGAAACUUGUGCUAAUACCGAAUGUGCCCUUCGGGGGAAAGAUUUAUCGCCAUUGGAGCGGCCCGCGUUGGAUUAGGUAGUUGGUGGGGUAAAGGCCCACCAAGCCGACGAUCCAUAGCUGGUCUGAGAGGAUGAUCAGCCACACUGGGACUGAGACACGGCCCAGACUCCUACGGGAGGCAGCAGUAGGGAAUCUUGCGCAAUGGGCGAAAGCCUGACGCAGCCAUGCCGCGUGAAUGAUGAAGGUCUUAGGAUUGUAAAAUUCUUUCACCGGGGAAGAUAAUGACGGUACCCGGAGAAGAAGCCCCGGCUAACUUCGUGCCAGCAGCCGCGGUAAUACGAAGGGGGCUAGCGUUGCUCGGAAUUACUGGGCGUAAGGGGCGCGUAGGCGGAUAGUUUAGUCAGAGGUGAAAGCCCAGGGCUCAACCUUGGAACUGCCUUUGAUACUGGCUAUCUUGAGUUCGGGAGAGGUGAGUGGAAUGCCGAGUGUAGAGGUGAAAUUCGUAGAUAUUCGGCGGAACACCAGUGGCGAA
rnacentral:rRNA from 1 species